UUAAGCGACUAAGCGUACACGGUGGAUGCCCUGGCAGUCAGAGGCGAUGAAGGACGUGCUAAUCUGCGAUAAGCGUCGGUGAGGUGAUAUGAACCGUUAUAACCGGCGAUUUCCGAAUGGGGAAACCCAGUGUGAUUCGUCACACUAUCAUUAACUGAAUCCAUAGGUUAAUGAGGCGAACCGGGGGAACUGAAACAUCUAAGUACCCCGAGGAAAAGAAAUCAACCGAGAUUCCCCCAGUAGCGGCGAGCGAACGGGGAGGAGCCCAGAGCCUGAAUCAGUGUGUGUGUUAGUGGAAGCGUCUGGAAAGGCGCGCGAUACAGGGUGACAGCCCCGUACACAAAAAUGCACAUGCUGUGAGCUCGAUGAGUAGGGCGGGACACGUGGUAUCCUGUCUGAAUAUGGGGGGACCAUCCUCCAAGGCUAAAUACUCCUGACUGACCGAUAGUGAACCAGUACCGUGAGGGAAAGGCGAAAAGAACCCCGGCGAGGGGAGUGAAAAAGAACCUGAAACCGUGUACGUACAAGCAGUGGGAGCCUCUUUAUGGGGUGACUGCGUACCUUUUGUAUAAUGGGUCAGCGACUUAUAUUCUGUAGCAAGGUUAACCGAAUAGGGGAGCCGAAGGGAAACCGAGUCUUAACUGGGCGUUAAGUUGCAGGGUAUAGACCCGAAACCCGGUGAUCUAGCCAUGGGCAGGUUGAAGGUUGGGUAACACUAACUGGAGGACCGAACCGACUAAUGUUGAAAAAUUAGCGGAUGACUUGUGGCUGGGGGUGAAAGGCCAAUCAAACCGGGAGAUAGCUGGUUCUCCCCGAAAGCUAUUUAGGUAGCGCCUCGUGAAUUCAUCUCCGGGGGUAGAGCACUGUUUCGGCAAGGGGGUCAUCCCGACUUACCAACCCGAUGCAAACUGCGAAUACCGGAGAAUGUUAUCACGGGAGACACACGGCGGGUGCUAACGUCCGUCGUGAAGAGGGAAACAACCCAGACCGCCAGCUAAGGUCCCAAAGUCAUGGUUAAGUGGGAAACGAUGUGGGAAGGCCCAGACAGCCAGGAUGUUGGCUUAGAAGCAGCCAUCAUUUAAAGAAAGCGUAAUAGCUCACUGGUCGAGUCGGCCUGCGCGGAAGAUGUAACGGGGCUAAACCAUGCACCGAAGCUGCGGCAGCGACACUAUGUGUUGUUGGGUAGGGGAGCGUUCUGUAAGCCUGUGAAGGUGGCCUGUGAGGGUUGCUGGAGGUAUCAGAAGUGCGAAUGCUGACAUAAGUAACGAUAAAGCGGGUGAAAAGCCCGCUCGCCGGAAGACCAAGGGUUCCUGUCCAACGUUAAUCGGGGCAGGGUGAGUCGACCCCUAAGGCGAGGCCGAAAGGCGUAGUCGAUGGGAAACAGGUUAAUAUUCCUGUACUUGGUGUUACUGCGAAGGGGGGACGGAGAAGGCUAUGUUGGCCGGGCGACGGUUGUCCCGGUUUAAGCGUGUAGGCUGGUUUUCCAGGCAAAUCCGGAAAACCAAGGCUGAGGCGUGAUGACGAGGCACUACGGUGCUGAAGUGACAAAUGCCCUGCUUCCAGGAAAAGCCUCUAAGCAUCAGGUAACAUCAAAUCGUACCCCAAACCGACACAGGUGGUCAGGUAGAGAAUACCAAGGCGCUUGAGAGAACUCGGGUGAAGGAACUAGGCAAAAUGGUGCCGUAACUUCGGGAGAAGGCACGCUGAUAUGUAGGUGAAGCGACUUGCUCGUGGAGCUGAAAUCAGUCGAAGAUACCAGCUGGCUGCAACUGUUUAUUAAAAACACAGCACUGUGCAAACACGAAAGUGGACGUAUACGGUGUGACGCCUGCCCGGUGCCGGAAGGUUAAUUGAUGGGGUUAGCGGUAACGCGAAGCUCUUGAUCGAAGCCCCGGUAAACGGCGGCCGUAACUAUAACGGUCCUAAGGUAGCGAAAUUCCUUGUCGGGUAAGUUCCGACCUGCACGAAUGGCGUAAUGAUGGCCAGGCUGUCUCCACCCGAGACUCAGUGAAAUUGAACUCGCUGUGAAGAUGCAGUGUACCCGCGGCAAGACGGAAAGACCCCGUGAACCUUUACUAUAGCUUGACACUGAACACUGGUCCUUGAUGUGUAGGAUAGGUGGGAGGCUUUGAAGUGUGGACGCCAGUCUGCAUGGAGCCAUCCUUGAAAUACCACCCUUUAAUGGCUGGUGUUCUAACGUGGACCCGUGAUCCGGGUUGCGGACAGUGUCUGGUGGGUAGUUUGACUGGGGCGGUCUCCUCCUAAAGAGUAACGGAGGAGCACGAAGGUUGGCUAAUCCUGGUCGGACAUCAGGAGGUUAGUGCAAUGGCAUAAGCCAGCUUGACUGCGAGCGUGACGGCGCGAGCAGGUGCGAAAGCAGGUCAUAGUGAUCCGGUGGUUCUGAAUGGAAGGGCCAUCGCUCAACGGAUAAAAGGUACUCCGGGGAUAACAGGCUGAUACCGCCCAAGAGUUCAUAUCGACGGCGGUGUUUGGCACCUCGAUGUCGGCUCAUCACAUCCUGGGGCUGAAGUAGGUCCCAAGGGUAUGGCUGUUCGCCAUUUAAAGUGGUACGCGAGCUGGGUUUAGAACGUCGUGAGACAGUUCGGUCCCUAUCUGCCGUGGGCGCUGGAGAACUGAGGGGGGCUGCUCCUAGUACGAGAGGACCGGAGUGGACGCAUCACUGGUGUUCGGGUUGUCAUGCCAAUGGCACUGCCCGGUAGCUAAAUGCGGAAGAGAUAAGUGCUGAAAGCAUCUAAGCACGAAACUUGCCCCGAGAUGAGUUCUCCCUGAGACUUAGAGUCUCCUGAAGGAACGUUGAAGACGACGACGUUGAUAGGCCGGGUGUGUAAGCGCAGCGAUGCGUUGAGCUAACCGGUACUAAUGAACCGUGAGGCUUAACCUU
rnacentral:rRNA from 1 species